rnacentral:rRNA from 1 species
CCUACGGGGGGCUGCAGUGAGGAAUAUUGGUCAAUGGACGAGAGUCUGAACCAGCCAAGUAGCGUGAAGGAUGACUGCCCUAUGGGUUGUAAACUUCUUUUAUAAAGGAAUAAAACGAGGCACGUGUGCCUUUUUGCAUGUACUUUAUGAAUAAGGAUCGGCUAACUCCGUGCCAGCAGCCGCGGUAAUACGGAGGAUCCGAGCGUUAUCCGGAUUUAUUGGGUUUAAAGGGAGCGUAGAUGGGUUGUUAAGUCAGUUGUGAAAGUUUGCGGCUCAACCGUAAAAUUGCAAUUGAUACUGGCAGUCUUGAGUACAGUUGAGGUAAGCGGAAUUCGUGGUGUAGCGGUGAAAUGCGUAGAUAUCACGAAGAACCCCGAUGGCGAAGGCAGCUUACUAAACUGUGACUGACAUUGAUGCUCGAAAGUGUGGGUAGCAAACAGGAUUAGAUACCCGUGUAGUC